rnacentral:tRNA from 1 species
GCGCCUGUAGCUCAGGUGGAUAGAGCAGCUGCCUUCUAAGCAGCGGGUCGGGAGUUCGAGUCUCUCCAGGCGCGC